CCUACGGGCGGCAGCAGUGAGGAAUAUUGGUCAAUGGGCGGGAGCCUGAACCAGCCAAGUCGCGUGAGGGAAGACGGUCCUAUGGAUUGUAAACCUCUUUAGGCGGGGAGCAAGGCCGGGCACGCGUGCCCGGAGGGAGAGGACCCGCAGAAGAAGCAGCGGCGAACUCCGUGCCAGCAGCCGCGGGAAUACGGAGGAUGCGAGCGUGAGCCGGAUUUAUUGGGUUGAAAGGGUGCGUCGGCGGAUUUUUAAGUCAGCGGUAAACUGUCCGGGCUCAACCCGGGCCGGCCGUUGAAACUGGGGAUCUUGAGUGGGCGAGCAGUAUGCGGAAUGCGUGGUGUAGCGGU
rnacentral:rRNA from 1 species